AUGACUAUGUGUAAUCAUCACUAGUUAUUUCAUUAAAUUUGAUAGUUAUGCAGCUGGUCAUGAAGUUAUUUUCUUCUUCUAAGUUCUUUUUUUUCCCUGAAUUUUACUAGAAGAAAUUGCGGUGGCAUCAUGCUGUCUUUUCUCUUUCUUCACUACCCAUGAAUCUAAAAACCAAGCCACCCCUCAAUAGAAAUGCAGAAUGCCCAUAAUCAUUGACUUAUUCCCUUUUAAAGUAAAUAAUAUGUAUGUACUUUGCCUUCAGAGCCUAGAAAUAAUGAUGGAUUAAGAUUUAUGUUGUAUUACUUUUUGCUUUGACACUAUAUUACUACUGAGGCCUGUAAUUAAAAUAUGAUCGAUGAGUACAUAAAACACUGCCUUCUCAUAAAAUGCUAGUAAAUAUGGUUGUUUUGGUUCUUGUAUGAGGUGGGAAUAAAUACAUUUGAUUGAU
rnacentral:lncRNA from 1 species